rnacentral:rRNA from 1 species
UACGUAGGGGGCAAGCGUUGUCCGGAAUCAUUGGGCGUAAAGAGCGUGUAGGCGGCCCGGUAAGUCCGCUGUGAAAGUCCAGGGCUCAACCCUGGGAUGCCGGUGGAUACUGUCGGGCUCGAGUCCGGAAGAGGAGUGUGGAAUUCCUGGUGUAGCGGUGAAAUGCGCAGAUAUCAGGAGGAACACCAACGGCGAAGGCAGCACUCUGGGCCGGUACUGACGCUGAGGAGCGAAAGCGUGGGGAGCGAACAGG